rnacentral:rRNA from 1 species
AUUGAACGCUGGCGGCAGGCUUAACACAUGCAAGUCGAGCGAGAGGAGGACGGGUGAGUAAGGUCUGGGAAACUGCCUGAUGGAGGGGGAUAACUACUGGAAACGGUAGCUAAAACCGCAUAACAUCCGAUGUGCCCAGAUGGGAUUAGCUAGUGGGUGGGGUAAUGGCUCACCUAGGCGAGGAUACCUAGCUGGUCUGAGAGGAUGACCCGCCACACUGGGACUGAGCCACGGUCCAGACUCCUACGGGAGGUAGCAGUGGGGAAUAUUGGACAAUGGGCGCAAGCCUGAUGCAGCCAUGCCGCGUGUGUGAAGAAGGCCUUCGGGUUGUAAAGCACUUUCAGCGAGGAGGCGUUACUCGCAGAGGAAGCACCGGCUAACUCCGUGCCAGCAGCCGCGGUAAUAC